rnacentral:lncRNA from 1 species
UAGAGGAUACUGAAGUGCAAGAUAUGAAACAUGUAUCUCAUUAAUCCUCAUACGUCUCCCCUAAUGCUUCUGAAGUACAAUCUCUUUUAUCCAUAUCAAGAUUGAAAUCUCCAGGAAUUAGUGCAGCAACUUUAGAUGCUGUGGGUGUAUUGUAUGUCCUUCCAUCUUUAAGACGAUCACUAACAAUCCUCAUAUGGAAAGUAUCUUCUGGGUUAGUAUUAAACCGAUCUCUUGCUGAUCUAAACUGCUUCACAUAUGGAUUCACUUCAUUUAACAUCUUUAUCAAAAUCUCAAUGAUCUCUUUCUUCAAUCCAUCUUUCUUUUUCCCU